rfam:Aspergillus clavatus NRRL 1 1099423829800 genomic scaffold, whole genome shotgun sequence.
GCUCGCAUGGCUCAGUUGGUAGAGCGCAUGACUAGUAUACCACGGCAAUUCGCCUGGUACGCCAUCAUGAGGUCCGCGGUUCGAAUCCGCGUGUGAGCA